rnacentral:rRNA from 1 species
AGCGAACGCUGGCGGCAGGCCUAACACAUGCAAGUCGAACGGACCCUUCGGGGUUAGUGGCGGACGGGUGAGUAACACGUGAGAACGUGCCUUUAGGUUCGGAAUAGCUCCUGGAAACGGGUGGUAAUGCCGAAUGUGCCCUUCGGGGGAAAGAUUUAUCGCCUCUAGAGCGGCCCGCGUCUGAUUAGCUAGUUGGUGAGGUAAAGGCUCACCAAGGCUACGAUCAGUAGCUGGUCUGAGAGGAUGACCAGCCACAUUGGGACUGAGACACGGCCCAAACUCCUACGGGAGGCAGCAGUGGGGAAUCUUGCGCAAUGGGCGAAAGCCUGACGCAGCCAUGCCGCGUGGAUGAUGAAGGUCUUAGGAUUGUAAAAUCCUUUCACCGGUGAAGAUAAUGACUGUAGCCGGAGAAGAAGCCCCGGCUAACUUCGUGCCAGCAGCCGCAGUAAAAC